rnacentral:rRNA from 1 species
GAUGAACGCUGGCGGCGUGUCUAAUACAUGCAAGUCGAGCGAACAGACGAGGAGCUUGCUCCUCUGACGUUAGCGGCGGACGGGUGAGUAACACGUGGAUAACCUACCUAUAAGACUGGGAUAACUUCGGGAAACCGGAGCUAAUACCGGAUAAUAUAUUGAACCGCAUGGUUCAAUAGUGAAAGACGGUUUUGCUGUCACUUAUAGAUGGAUCCGCGCCGCAUUAGCUAGUUGGUAAGGUAACGGCUUACCAAGGCAACGAUGCGUAGCCGACCUGAGAGGGUGAUCGGCCACACUGGAACUGAGACACGGUCCAGACUCCUACGGGAGGCAGCAGUAGGGAAUCUUCCGCAAUGGGCGAAAGCCUGACGGAGCAACGCCGCGUGAGUGAUGAAGGUCUUCGGAUCGUAAAACUCUGUUAUUAGGGAAGAACAAAUGUGUAAGUAACUAUGCACGUCUUGACGGUACCUAAUCAGAAAGCCACGGCUGACUACGUG